rnacentral:rRNA from 1 species
CCAAUAGCGUAUAUUAAAGUUGUUGCAGUUAAAAAGCUCGUAGUUGAAUUUCGAGACCGGUUUAUUGGUCGUGCUUUUGUACGUACUGGUAUUAUUGGUUUCUCCUUUCUGACGAAUCUUAAUGCCAUUAAUUUGGUGUUUUGGGGAAUCAGGACUGUUACUUUGAAAAAAUUAGAGUGUUUAAAGCAGGCUCACGCUUGAAUACAUUAGCAUGGAAUAACGGAAUAGGACGUUUGAUUCUAUUUUGUUGGUUUCUAGGAUCGACGUAAUGAUUAAUAGGGAUAGUUGGGGGCAUUAGUAUUCAAUUGUCAGAGGUGAAAUUCUUGGAUUUAUUGAAGACUAACUACUGCGAAAGCAUUUGCCAAGGAUGUUUUCAUUAAUCAAGAACGAAAGUUAGGGGAUCGAAGACGAUCAGAUACCGUCGUAAUCUUAACCAUAAACUAUGCCGACUAGGGAUCGGAUGAUGUUAAUUUUUUAAUGACUCAUUCGGCGCCUUACG